rnacentral:piRNA from 1 species
UGAAAAGUAACCGCUAGGUCAGCAAGAA